UACAGAGGUCUCAAGCGUUGUUCGGAUUCAUUGGGCGUAAAGGGUGCGUAGGUGGCAGGGUAAGUCGGAUGUGAAAUCCCGGGGCUCAACCUCGGAACUGCAUUCGAUACUGCUUUGCUGGAGUACUGGAGAGGAGAUUGGAAUUUACGGUGUAGCAGUGAAAUGCGUAGAUAUGUAAGGAAGACCAGUGCGAAGGACGGAUCUCUG
rnacentral:rRNA from 1 species